AGAGUUUGAUCAUGGCUCAGGAUGAACGCUAGCGGCAGGCUUAAUACAUGCAAGUCGAGGGGCAGCACGGUUAGCAAUAACUGGUGGCGACCGGCACACGGGUGCGUAACACGUAUACAAUCUACCUUAAACAGGGGGAUAGCCUUUCGAAAGAGAGAUUAAUACCCCGUAAUAAAUUGAACGGCAUCGUUUGAUUUUGAAAGCUCCGGCGGUUUGAGAUGAGUAUGCGUCUGAUUAGCUAGUUGGUGAGGUAACGGCUCACCAAGGCGACGAUCAGUAGGGGACCUGAGAGGACUAACCCCCACACUGGUACUGAGACACGGACCAGACUCCUACGGGAGGCAGCAGUAAGGAAUAUUGGUCAAUGGAGGCAACUCUGAACCAGCCAUGCCGCGUGCAGGAUGACGGCCCUAUGGGUUGUAAACUGCUUUUAUACAAGAGAAAACCCUGGUACGUGUACCAGGUUGAUAGUAUUGUAAGAAUAAGCAUCGGCUAACUUCGUG
rnacentral:rRNA from 1 species